rnacentral:rRNA from 1 species
AUUGAACGCUGGCGGCAUGCUUUACACAUGCAAGUCGAACGGUAACAGGGUGCUUGCACCGCUGACGAGUGGCGAACGGGUGAGUAAUGCGUCGGAACGUGCCGAUUAGGGGGGGAUAACGCAGCGAAAGUUGUGCUAAUACCGCAUACGUACUGAGGUAGAAAGUGGGGGACCUUCGGGCCUCACGCCAUUCGAGCGGCCGACGUCUGAUUAGCUAGUAGGUGAGGUAAAGGCUCACCUAGGCGACGAUCAGUAGCGGGUCUGAGAGGAUGAUCCGCCACACUGGGACUGAGACACGGCCCAGACUCCUACGGGAGGCAGCAGUGGGGAAUUUUGGACAAUGGGCGAAAGCCUGAUCCAGCCAUGCCGCGUGUCUGAAGAAGGCCUUCGGGUUGUAAAGCACUUUAAGCGAGGAGGAGGCUACUUUAGUUAAUACCUAGAGAUAGUGGACGUUACUCGCAGAAUAAGCACCGGCUAACUCUGUGCCAGCCGCCGCAGUAA